GCUGGUGUGGCGCAAUGGCAGCGCGGCUCACUCGUAAUGAGUAGGUUGGAGGUUCGAAUCCUCUCACCAGCACCA
rnacentral:tRNA from 1 species